rnacentral:lncRNA from 1 species
UUUCACCGGUCUCCGUUGAUGUAGAAACAAGUACUCAUCAUGCAGAAGUAGAAUUCAAUGUGCCAUUAAGCUUCUAGGUGAAUGUAUUAACAUAUACAGUUCAUGCGACAAUGAUAAUGCCGUUACCAAUUUUGAUAAUCAGUUCAUGCCACGAUGAUAAUGCCGUUACCACAGGUAAUUUUGAUCCGAAUUAUAAUGAAAUUUGAUUACUAGAGUUGUACCCGUUAUGUAUUAAUUUAGUUAAUCUUACAUGUUUCUGUUUGUGGUUGAAUUUUGUAACUUGUAAAUGAUGUUCAGGUUCUGAUGAGGUGUUUGGAUGAACUUCAUGUUAUUUUGUAAUAUGCAAAAACUUCAAGUCAUAUUUAUU